GAGAGAGUUGGACCUGAGCUACAAUCACCCAGGAGACACUGGAGUCAAGCUACUCUCUGAGAGAAAGGACUGCAAACUGGACACAACUCAUUGUUGAUCAUGAUGCAGAGUGUUGGCUGAAGUCAGGACUGAAGAAAUAUGCCCAUCAGCUCAAGCUGGACCCCGACACAGCCAACUAUGUGAUUUCCAUCUCUGAGAAUCAGCAGAAGUUAACUACUUCUGACGAGAGCUACCCCGACCACCCUGACAGGAUUAAGAGCUGUGAACAGGUGCUGUGUAGUGAAGGCCUGACUGGACGCUGCUACUGGGAGGCAGAAUGGGACUCGGCAAUGAUGUAUGUAGGAGCGGCGUACAGGAAACAAGGAAUAAAAGAGAGAGACUGUCGUCUGGGACUCAACGACACGUCCUGGGGCCUGCUGUGUCAGUAUUCAUCAAACUCUUUAUAUCGCCACAGCUACACUGCCAGCCAUGACCGUAAGACCACCCCCAAAGUUUCACUUACGUUUGACUGCAACAGAGUAGGAGUGUUUCUGGACUGGCCAGCCGGUACUCUGU